AAUUCUUGCCUUUUAUUUGUCAAAUUGGUACUUUGGAGUCUCUUGAUGUUUCCCUGAACUUUUUGAGCUCUAUCCCAAAUGAGUUCAUCACUGUUUGUGGGGGAAUUAGUGGGUUGAAAUUGUUGAACUUUAGUGGGAAUAGAUUGGAGGGUUUUUUGCCUACUUUCACUGGUUUUGGAAAGUUGGAGUCUUUAGACUUUUCUUAUAAUAGCUUGAAGGGAAAAGUUGACUUGCAGUUGAAUGGAUUGAAUUCACUCAAGAGUUUGAACCUUAGCUCUAACAGGUUUAAUGGUUCAGUUCCAACCAGUCUUGGAAAAUUUAAUCUUCUGGAGGAGCUUCAUCUUUCUGCAAAUGCUUUUCAAGGUGAAUUCCCCACUCAAAUUGUGAACUUUGGCAACUUAACUUUGAUUGACCUUUCUCUAAACAAACUAUCUGGUGUAAUACCUGAUAGAAUAGGUGAACUUUCCAAAUUGCAAGUCUUGAUCUUGUCAGCCAAUAAAUUGAGUGGCACCAUCCCACAAUCCCUUAGGAAUAUCACAACGCUGACGCGUUUUGCUGCGAAUCAGAAUUAUUUUGUUGGAAAUAUACCCUUUGGUAUAACCACAUACCUGAGGAAUUUGGACCUCAGUUUUAACACAUUAAAUGGUACAAUUCCUCAGGACCUCUUAUUCCCAAUGAACUUGCAGUUUGUUGAUCUCACUUCCAAUAAGUUAGAGGGACCUGUUCCUUCAAACAUGUCGAUAAAUCUGAUCAGGUUGAGAUUGGGGCAAAAUGCUUUGAAUGGGUCAUUUCCAUCUGCUUCUUUUGAAAGCCUUCAAAGUUUGACCUACUUGGAACUGGACAACAACCAGUUAACUGGACCAAUUCCUUCUGAAUUGGGGAAGUGCCAAAAGUUGGCCCUUUUGAACUUAGCUCAGAAUAAGCUGAGUGGUGUAAUUCCUGUUGAGUUGGGUGAUAUGUCUAAUCUUCAGGUACUGAGUCUUCAAUCCAAUAACCUAGUUGGAGAAAUCCCAAGUAAUAUCUCACAGUUGAACAGAUUGCAGAAACUCAAUUUCAGCUCGAAUUCGUUGACUGGUUCCAUACCAAGUUCAUUAUCAAGUUUGAGAAGUCUCACAAACUUGAAUUUGCAGGGGAAUAAACUAAGCGGUCGAAUUCCGGUUGACAUUAGUAACUUAAAUGUGCUGUUAGAACUCCAACUUGGAGGGAACCAACUCAGUGGGCCUAUUCCUGAUAUGCCAUUGAGUUUACAGAUUGCUUUGAAUCUGAGUCACAAUCUUUUUCAAGGACCUAUACCAAGUAGUUUUUCUAGAUUGACUUCAUUGGAAGUUUUGGAUCUCUCUUACAACAGGUUCUCGGGUCAGAUUCCAGAGUACCUGGCCGGAAUGAAAGGCUUGACUAGGUUGGUGCUUUCAAACAAUCAACUGUCUGGAGUUGUUCCAAAGUUUGGAAGUUUUGUCAUUGUUGAUACAGAUGGAAAUGGGGUUCUGAUCUAUCCUUCACCAGUUGCUCCACCACAAGCUGCUGCAAAAAAGAGAAAAUCAAUAGUUGUUGCAGUUGUUGUCCCAAUUGCAGGUGUAGCAACAAUUGCCAUUUUCGUGGUGAUUGCUAUUUCAAUCUCUAGAAGAUAUUACAGGAUCAAUGAUGAACAUUUUCACUCAGGAGUACAAAUUUCUCAAUCCCCUGUCGUUCAGGGAAAGGUUUUAACUGCAAACAGCAUUCACAAGUCAAAUAUAGACUUCACAAAGGCCAUGGUAGCAGUGUCUGAGCCCUCAAAUGUUGUGUUCAAGACAAGAUUUUCAACCUACUAUAAAGCUGUUAUGCCGUCGGGUACAACCUAUUUUGUCAAGAAGCUUAAUUGGAGU
rnacentral:misc_RNA from 1 species